UAUGUAGGCGAUGGGUUUCAGACGCCCCGAAAUUCGCAAGGAGCCCCAGCUGCUGCCUGACCCGUGAGCGGAGCCGACGCUGUCCGUGGUCCUGCAGUUCACCCCUACCAGGUCGCUGAAACACCUGAGGUGCUGAAAGGACAGCGCACUGCCAGACGCGGGGAACAGGGAGAGAGGCAUGAAUCCAAUCCGCUCGCAGGAGGAUGACCAGGCCAAGAUGGCCGAACGAAAGAAGAGCGACAUCGAUACAACCACGAAAGCAUACAAAAAAUUUUUUUUUUUUUUUUUUGCAAGAAUAAAAGAAGAAAGCAACAAAAAAAAAAAAACACCAAAGGGGGCUAUUGGGUAAACGGAACAUUUAAAUGUUCCGCUCUCUAGCAACAGUCGGAGAACAGAUCUGGAAAUUACAGUCUCGCCGAACUUUCCAAGCAGCUGCACAAUGUGAUUACAGUCGAAUAAAUGCAUUAACCGUAGUGACAAACAUUCAGGUAAGGUUAUCCAUCCUGCGAUUCACCCGUCUGUCUAUUUCCGUCCCAGAUUAAACCCUACAGGUGCCAAAUGACACACAGAUUCAUCGCCCUCGCACUGUUGCCCUGGAUAUACAAAACAGCCUUCGCAAAUCAGGCGAGGCAUCAUCCAAUGGCAUCUCCCGAUUUGCGACGACAUCCUUCAAGUACCCAUUACUGGCCUAUGGAAGGAGAACGGAACUGUGAGCCUCGUGCAGUGAUGGAGAGAGACAGAACGUUACUGCUACUGUUACAUCAUAAUCCUGAAAUGUUUAGGAAUUUAACUUCCAUUGUGAUGUCAUCAAACAGGGACACAGUCAGGGUGGUGCUACUCCUCUGAUGUCCUCACACCGCGCCAUUCCGAAGAGAGGGAUGUGUCGAUUUAUGAACGAAUCCUUUAUAUUGUGCGGCAAAGAUAACAGGCACAUCAGUCCUGAGUCAUUUUUAAGCGUUAACUACACGUGGAGGGUGCUGUGGGUGUGACCUAUCUGGUCCGUCAAUCACUUUUGUGAUUCCGUUGCCCUACAGGGAGCACUUCAGUGGAAAGUUGCACAGUCUGACAAAAAUACUCCCAAAGUUUUAUUAGAGAUCAAAUCUCUCCCAGAGAAAGUUUCAGUCACACUAAAGUAAUACCAGAAUUCUUAAAAAACCAACCCCAAUGAUAUCUUUUAACUUAAUUAUGUCUCAAUUAGGCAUAAUUGGAAGGAAGCUCCACAAACAACACAGCAAAGACCUGUCUGUCAUCUGGGUGGAUACUGUCUGAGGUUCUUGCCAGUGAAGUUUAUAAAUAAACACGUCUGAUUUUUUUCAGUUUAGUACCUCACAGGUCCAGGCUGGUUUGCCUUUUUUGUGCAUAACAUUUCCAAGAAACUGGCAAGUGUACAUGUUUUUCAUAACUGCCUUAAAAAAGAACUAGCUCUGGCCCUCUUUCAACAUCCUUACUUUUCAUCGGAGAUAUUGAUGAUAAUCAGCGCAAUUACUCAAUGACUAAUGGGCCCACUUAAAAAAUUUCGGGGAUAAAACAAGAGAAAACUGCAUCGCAGUGUGUGUGUAUUCAAUUAGUCGCGACUCUCUUGUCUGUCCAACUGCUGGGUGAUUGCCAUUGCCCUCAGUGCUCUGCAGAGCUGGGAGUGCAUCUGAGGUUUACAGAGAAAGAAAGAGAGCGGAGUUCUGUUGUACAAUUUGACUUCGGUGAACCCAGCUCAACCCGUAAAGAGGCUUUUAUUGCCAGGUUUGGGUGGGUGUGUGUGUGUGUGCGAUGAAAGAGCAGGUGGAGGAAAAGUUAUAAUGACACACUGACGCCCAAAGCGGCGUUCGGUCUACCGUUUCCACCCUCCCUGUUUUCCUACUUUGAUGCCGUAUUUGGACUUAGAAUACCAUGCCUGGCAGAGUCAGAGUCUUUCUCUGUCAGCUGUAUAUGUGCGAAUGUGUCUGACGCUAGGCUUUAACCCUUUUGAGCUCAGAGCGGUCUCACACCUGAUCCUGGAGGCCCCCUGUGUUUUUAUUCAAACCGCACGUACAUCCCCUGAGUAGUAGUGAGCUGUUAAUUCUUCCUAAUUAGACACUUCUGAUGUCUGUUGAGGGCGUGGCCAGAGAAAUGGCCGACACCCACAUGCCACUGGCCCCACCCACCCGUGAAGGAGAAGAGCAAACUGUGAACUGUUUUUUUUUUUUUUUAAAUGCUGUACGUCACGCUCGUUACUAUGGAAACGCAAAUAUGGCCCUUUGAUCCAUAUCAGUGACGUUCAUUUAUUAUUUUUUCUUUUUUAAAAAAAGAAAUUGUGUUACUGUGCGCUCGGAGAAAAAAAAAUCAGAGUUUCAUUCUCGUGGUUGAAAAACGAAGCGAUAAUUCCGCCAAUGUGGCUGAAGAGAACAAACUUGUGCUUGCAGGCUGGGGAGGGACACUGUGAUGGCUGAGGAGGCUCUCUCAGGUCAGCAGACAGACCUCAGACUCUCUUUACUCCUGUCUCCGGCGAGGGAGGGGGGCGGGAGGGAGGGUGCGCGGGGGGAUGAUCAGCUCAGCUUCUGGCAACACGGGAAGCUGCAAACUGCGGAAGGAGGGAGACCCACCUAAAAACCAAUAAGGUGAUAAUGGUCCUGUUCCCGUUUUCUGCCAUUAGGAAGCUCAGCAGGCUCACUCCUCGCAUACGUUUCCUGUUCCUGUACUGCUGUACCAUCACAACACCUCUGUGUCCAUCCAACCGACAGACUUUCAGAAAAAGCAAUGAGAAACUACACAUACCCACAAGUGUACAAUGCAACACAAUAAUCAGAUGAAGUAUUGAUACUUAAUUUAUGGAAUUUCAUAUUUCUAAUUUGGCCUGAAAUUGAUAUCAACAGAACAGAAAAAGUGCGGACAAGACACAUUAGACACAGUCAAGGAGAAACAAAAUCCACUGAAAAGGGGGAUUCUGAAUAUUCUGGCAUGCUUGUUAACCUUUUUAGUUGUCCUUGGGUCAAAAAUCCCCCUUUUCAGAGUUUAACAGCUGUGUAAACCCCCCAAAUUUAAAUUUUUGUUAGCGUGAAAUUUGAUUACUUUUCCUGGAGUGACCCUAUAAUUAGAAAAAGUUCAACAUCGCUCUAUUUAAAUAUUUUCUAUGAAAGAAGUACACCAUCAGGGCACAAAGAUUGUCUUAAAAGUCUUUUUUUUUUAAUCGUGCAGUUAAUGAAAUCAGAAGUCAUAAUUAAAGUUGAGCGCCCACACGUCUAUUACAGCAAAAAAAAAAAAAAUCAAAUUAAUUAUGUGUGCUUUGUAGUAAAAACGAGUGGUGCAGACUGAAGGAAUACAGUCUCUCUGGACUGGGAAGCGGGAAGACACUGAUAUAUUAAUGAGUGACAGGUUUGUUUCUACAUUUUAAAAUAUUGCAGUUCAAUUAAGAGGCUUUA